rnacentral:rRNA from 1 species
AGGGGUAAACCUGAGAAAMCCGAAAGGUCGAAGGGAGAAAUUCAUCGCGUUUCGCGGUAGACGGCGAGCGGUCGCGCGACGGAAGGACGUUUACGGUCUUUCGCGCCGUCAGUUCGUCGAAUUUGCCGCGAACGCGUGCACUUUUCUUCUGGUAGGACGUCGCGAUCCGUUGGGCGUCAGUCUACGGCUCGAGGUGGAGCCCGCCCGUCGCUCUCAUCAGCGCACGGACGGACCCUCGUGUCCCGGCUGACUCGCUCGACGGUACACUCGAAAGGUUAGGGGCCGCUCCUCUGCGAGCGUUCGGCUCGCGGCAAGCGCGUCAGACGUGUCGGCGAUCGGACCCAGUGCCGAUUCCGACCUCUGGCGACUGUUGGCCGUCGAAGUUCUCGAACAGACCGGUUGACCGAUCUGCGACGCUAUAGCUUUGGGUACUUUCAGGACCCGUCUUGAAACACGGACCAAGGAGUCUAGCAUGUGCGCGAGUCAUUGGGAAUCGCUAAACCUAAAGGCGCAAUGAAAGUAAAGGUCUUCCUCGCGAAGACCGAGGGAAGACGAGCGGUUUACCGUUAAAAGUGGCCGUUCCGCACUCCCGGGGCGUCUCGUUCUCAUCGCGAGAAGAGGCGCACCAAGAGCGUACACGCUGGGACCCGAAAGAUGGUGAACUAUGCCUGGUCAGGACGAAGUCAGGGGAAACCCUGAUGGAGGUCCGUAGCGAUUCU